CGCCUUCGCACCGACCCGCAGCGCCGCCGCCGCCGCCGCCAUUAUCGCCCGCCCGGCCUGACCCCUCACACCCGCCAGGGCGCCGUGGGAGGCGGAGCCUGAGACGCGGCACACGGGGCUCGGACCGGCGCGGCCUCUUGCGGACGCACGCUAGAGCUUUUCAAUGUCAGAAGAACAAAGUCAAGAUAUGAUGGCAACUGAGGAACUUCAAGCCAUUAUACAAAGAUGCCAAAUUCUAGAAGAAGAAAAUUUCAAAGGAGAAGAUUUUAAUCUUUUUCAAGUAGCAGGCCAGAAGUGCUUAGAAGAAGGUUAUGCAGCAGAAGUAUUAGAAGUAAUUCAAAAUGAGAAAAAUAAGGUUAUUGUCAAGAGUAUGGGCUGGAAUCUUGUUUGUCCUCUUGUUAGAUCCAUUUUGAGUUAUAAGCAGGAAGAUGAGAAGAGAGAACAUUGUCUGAAAAUACUAGAUCAGCUGGUGCAGCUAUGUAAUCCAAAGGAACUUUUAUUGGGUUUACUUGAGCAGAUUGAGCAGACCUCUGGGGAGCAGAUAUCCCAAACUAUUCUGCUCUUGCUUCAACCUCUGCAGACAGUUCUAUUGAAACUUCAUAGCAAGAAGUCAUACUCAGUGGGUUUAUCUUUGUCUACCAUUUUAAAUCAGCUCUCUCUCCUGCCUGUACCUUACACAAAAGAACAAAUACGAGAAGAUAAACUUGGCCUCUGCCAGUGUUGCAAUGCAGUAGUGGAUUUUGCUAAACCUUUUGUGGAUGAAGUUGUUAAAAAUAUGGAAAGCUCAACAGAAAAUGAUGACAAAGAGCUCAAAGAAGAAUUACUAAAAUUUUGUUUGAAAAGCUUGAAAUACCCCUUAUUAAUAGCACAGCUUGAUCAGCUGCAUGAAGACAUUGAAGAAGAUCCCUUAAGGCAUUUUGCAGCUGAAAUUCUAGGCAUAUUAUUGGAUAUAAGAGAAUUAUUACCAACAUUGUUUUUACACCAUGGAAGCAGAAAUCAGAACUGGGAUAAUCAGGAUUUUUUGGAUGUAGAUGGAAAGCAUUCUGCAGAUUCUUUGGCAUGUCUAUCAUAUCUGGUGUAUGUUCAGUAUUUUGGUAUUGAUUGUUUUCCAAUGGUCUUUAGUCCAUCAUAUCUUCUGCAGUGCAACAUGACACAUAUUGAGGUCCUAUUGAAAAGGACAGAAGAAUCUGUAUUAACUAAAGGACUUGACCUGCUUGGAAACUGUUUAUUGAGAAUGGGAGAUAAUAGCCUUCACCACCAGUAUUUGGAAUUCAAAGGCUUCAUUACAGCACCUCAGGAUUUGGUUAAAGUGAUGACCCUUUGUCCUAUAGAGCAUCUGCGAAAGAAGAGUUUGAAGAUAUUGCAGUUAUAUAUAGACAAGUUUGAUGCAGAGGGAAAAUACACUUUGUUCAGGUGUUUAUUGAAGACAAGCAACCACGCUGGCGUAGAAGGCCAUGUUAUACAAAAUAUCAAAAAUCAGAUUGAUUUAUCAUUAAAGAAAGCAAAUGACAGUAAGUGGUUUACUGGACCCCAGCUGGUUUCACUUCUAGAUUUAGUGCUGUUGCUUCCUGAAGGAGCUGAAACAGAUCUUCUCCAAAACUCAGAUAGGAUUAUGGCCUCACUAAAUCUAUUGAGAUAUUUAUUCAUUAAGGAUAACGAAUACGACAAUCAAGUAAGUGAUUGAUUUAAAAAGCUAUCUUUUCAGUUUAAAAACAAUAGCUGUGCCAGUUCAUGACAAAGUUAGCAGCUGCUGCAAAAAAAAGUCUUUAUUCAAUAUCCAGUGAGAAUGUUUUUGUUAAUGGUGUUCAGAAAAUUUUGAAGUUUAUAGUGGUGAAAGUUAAAUGCUUACUCACUGACUAUUUUUUCAGCAAGUUUAGUGUUGUUCUAUCUCCACCAGAAAGCCAGGUCAGCACCUGUAAUUCCAGAUGAUAUCGCCAUAAAAUAAAGUAUAUAGCCAGUAUUCCAAAAAUAAUAAAUAUACUUUUACUUGUAUACAGAUACUUAGGAAGGGUUAACUUCCACCAAGCAUUGUAAAGCUUUUUAGACGGGAUCUUCUACAAACCUUUGAAGUUUUAGAAUUGCUUCAUUAUUCAAGGAAGCCUCUUUAUCAUUUAGUUUUAAGUGGCAUGGAAGAGAAUUUAUUUUAGUGUCAGGGUGUCUCCCUAAGCAUUUUGACAACUCAGCAUUGAAUAGCUUUUGUUUUUAAUCAUGUAAAAAAAAAAAUCCUGUAUUUCCAACCCCUUCUGCAACUGCAUUUUUGGUAAAUGUCAAUAACUCCACUGGGUAUUCAAGCCAAAUCAAUGCUUCUCAGAUCUGCAUUAUUGAAAUAACAUAAGGAUUGAUAUGCCUGUCCCAAAUUAGCAAAAAAUUGCAGAACAUCUUAAACAAUAGAUAUAAAUUAAAAAAACCAAACACUGAUAAUGGAAGAGCUAUUUAUUCUCCUCAGGUUUCCAAAUCCUUCAACUAAAACAAUAUGAAAUAGCUUCCUGGUACUUUCUCAGUUCACCAAGACCCUGCAGCAAUGUUAAUAUAUUUUGCAUAAUAUAUCAUGCUGUGAAAUCCCAAUUCCCCUGUCAAGACAAAGAUUUUCAAACAAAGCAGAUGAUAUUUUGGCAAAAAGGGGUUGGGAGGGAAAUAGGACUAGAUUGUAGUGCUGUAAUUGCUCCUGGCAAAUAUGUUUUAUUGAACUACUUUCUUAGGAUAAAUUUUGUUUCUCUGAGGAGGGGAUAAAUGUUGUUUUGUUUCUCUGAGAGGGGAAAAAACAGUACAUUAUUUCCUCCUAAGGGCAACAUGCUUAAGAUUGUACGCCAUUCUGAUUUUGCAGAUAGCUCUGCUGCUUUGGUUGUGGUCAGGGUUUCCACAUGAGUUUUUUCUGACAGCUAUAGGCUGUGUUUAUCCAUACCUCUGCUCUUAUAUUGACCUCUCUUUUUUGCAUACCCUGUACCUUUUUCUGGCUGGCUACUUCAUUGCUUUACCGGAUAUAGCCUAGAAUGUUUCAUGCAUGAAGACCAUUUAUUAAAGUACCUUACACUGCAAUUUCAGACAGAACACUAUGUCUUAAAUAUGUACAAGCAGGGAAUCAAUACAUUUCUCUCGUGCUUUGAUGUUUGAAUGCAAAUAAUCUGGAAAUUGUUACUAUAGACAAGUGAAACCCUCCAUCCUAUUGUAUUGUCCUAACUGAAAUGGAAAAAAAUAAACAGCAUAAAUGAUAAAGUAUUUUAUAGCCAUUUUGGUGUUAAUAACCUACGGUGUAGGUUGGAAUUGUCAAACAAUUUUUUUAAUAUAUUUUCUUUAAGCUCUAACAGCUCCUAGCCAAUAGCCUGAAAGGGAGAAACAAUGCACCUCUCUAUAUGCUGGAUUCUGGCUGUUUACAAUUUUAUAUAAGUGGUAGAAGUUUUUACUCAACUUCAAUUUAAAGCAAGAUUUUACAGUGUCGGAAAUGUGAUUAACUGUUCAGCUUUAUCAGCAGACCCGUGACUUAUUUUUCUCUUUCUCAUCUGAAGCAGUCAACAAUAUUUAUUAUUGGCUGUGCUAUUUCAGAUCAGCCCAGACCAUGCCAAUCAUUCAACUGUUGUAGUAGCUUUUCAGUGUAAUGUUUUAUGACUGACUGAUCUGUUCUUGUAUGCAAUCACUCCCAUCCAGCUGCAUCUAGAUGGACAAAUGUUCUUAGAUAGCCAAGGAAGCAAUUUCUAUUUAAAUUUCACAACUGGCUUAACAUGAGGUUGCAUUUCUGAGCAGCUGAACUAUAAUUUCUUUAAGUGCCAUAGCCUGCACAGCUUAGCUACAGUAUUGAAGACUGAAGAGCCAUUGGAAUUUUACAUGUUUAAUUUUCUUACUGUACUUCGGUACUGAAAAGGCCACUUAUCUCCAUAACAAAGGCAAGUCCUACUGACUCUUUUCCCGAAGUCAUUAGACACCAACGUUCCUGCAAUUCGUAGAGUUCAACAGUUUUUAUCAUCAACCAGGUCUCAUAGUAAAGGCUUUAUUUUAAAACUAUUCCUAAUAUAAAUACACCUUCCCUUCAAGCUAGUUUUCCUUGUUUCCUAAUGCCCUUUAUAUAGGAACCUAAAGUUGGGGAAAGUUCAUUGGUCACCUUGCAGAUUCUAAAUUAGUUCCAUUGAAGGGACAUGACUGUAAUGCUGCCUGUAGUGAUUCAAGAAUAUUAAUGACAGCCUCAGGCAGAGAUUGUUAGGAACCAAGACACAAAUCCUAAAUUAGUUUUGAGUUCUAUGCUUAGAUUUCAUCUACAAAUUACCAAGUGUAAACUACUUUGGCACAAUAAUAUCCUUAAUAUUGAGUCACAGAUAUUGCCCUCUGUUACUCCGAUCUGUCUCGCCACCCAGGUGAGCCUACUUUUGUGAUAGAUGGUCCCUUACACCAAGAAUCAUAGAAAUAUUCAGGUUACUCUGAGUCGCAAAGGACCAGUCACUUACCCCAUGUCAAUUGUAGCUUAGAUCUCACACCAAAGACAACGCUUGUAGCCAAACUAUAUAAAGAUUUAUAAAAUAGGAAGAAGAAACCAGAGAGUUAUUUAAAAGGUUAAAGCAGGUAAACAUAUACACAAAUGAGUUACGAUCCUAAGUUUCAAAACAUAAUACAAGCUUCUGUAAUCAGCAAAGUUUGUAUGUCCUUUAGAGCUAACUCAGGCUAAGCAGCUGGGGAUCUUUUGCUUUUACCUAGAAACACUUUGCAUCCUACCCCCCACCCCAGAAUUCAAGAAGCUUAGAGAUAAUCAGCUCCUUCUUGUUAGGAAUUUUUAUCCCACUCUUGCCAUGUGCUUUGAGUUGCAAACUCAGCUGAUGGGAGGAAUCCACUAGCAUGACUCAUCUUCACAGCAGACGGGUGAGGGAGAAAGCAGAACAACAAACAUCCUUUGUCCUCUUUAACAUGCCACAAUAGUUUGUCUUGCGUCGAUUGACCUUGCUUGUUGGGAAGGACGUAAUGCCUUCUGUUGAUAAGCCCUUCAUGCUAAUUAACAUCUCUCUCCUUUCUGGUGAUUUGCACAAUCACUGAGGCUCACAAUACAGCCACUCAAACAUUACCCGACAAUAUGGGAUACAGAUGUUAUAAGUGAGAUUAAUGCAUGCAGCAACCCACAAGCAUUCAAUAAAGUCUAAACACAUUCUUAUAAUUCUAAUACCUAUUUUAACAAUUCUAGCCUACAAGUGAGCCAGACUGAUUCCAGAUAUGUAUUUUUUAGUGUUUAAUUGAGACUUGGGGACUCUGGUAUGAGUGGGCGCUGGUCUGAGCACUUCCUAAUGACCUUUUAAGAAAUUCCAUUUGUUUCACUGUUCAUACAUUAGUAGUCUCACCAAAAUCUACAUACUGGUACCCCUAGUAUAUACUAUUAACAGGCAAAAAAUUGUAAUCUGAAGUUAAUCUGUAAAUAUUUAUCACUUUAAUGUGGUUGGGGAAGGGAACUUUGAGAACAUUAUAGUUCUGUAGUUUCUGGGUCCUGUAUCACCACCAUUCUUCAGACCAUAUUUGGCCUUCAGUUACACGCUAUUAUAUUCAAAUUCUGCUAUCAGUUACAGAAUUUGGAGUUACAUAGGUGUAAGUGAGGCAGACUUUGUGUGCAAUUAGAACUUAAUCAUGGUGUAUCAUUGAAGAUGUAGUCCAGCCGAGGAACCCAUCCCAUAGAAAAGAAUGGGGACAUGAGGAACCUGAACUACAAUUCCCAUGAGGUACUGUGGCAAAAACUUUCUGUUUUUGUAAAUUAUUUUUUUUGAACUACAGUCAAUUUUCUGUGGCAAGUAGACACUUUGUGAAAAAUUGUCAAGUCAAAAAACAAGUUGCGUCAAAAAAAGGUUUAGAAAGAAAAGUCUUGACCAGCCCCAGUUGUAAUCUUUCAUGUUUUUCUCAGUGACUUCAGCAUCCAAUUUGCUAAGUUUACUGUAAAAACUUUUUUUUCCUACCAGCAGAUUUUGAUAUGCCACCUGGAUUUGAUAGCCAAAUAGAUUUUUAUUUUUUUUUUCUGGCUCAUCCUCAUCCUUAGGAAUAGAUUCUGCAAGUCAAAUUAUGCCCUUAGCUACCUUAAAAAAAAAAAACAACAAUCCAACUAUUUACAAUACACGUUACUAACAGAGCUGUCCCAAUUCAUCACCAUGUUCAUUUGCUAGUACAGUAUGUUGUAUCCCCAUCCCCUACCCUUCAGCUGUUUUGUCUUUAGAUUGCAAACCUUUCGGGAUAGGGAUUGUUUGUACAAUGUCCAGCAUAAUAGGUGCAUCCACAAAGCAGAGUUUCACAGGUGUUAGCUUAUGGCAGAAUCUGGCUUUGUAGUGGGUACUUAGCAAAUAAUUCUGUUCAUGUUUGAAUUAGAUUAGAAAAUAACAUAUUUUCUUAGCUGUGUUGCUUCUGCAUUGGCAACAGGAGUAAAAGUAGGAAAAAGUGAGUAGAUCAGACUUUACACACACAGGUAGCCAGAUCCAUUGGGAUAGAACUUAGAAUGUAAGUCUUCGGGGCAGGUCCCAUGUCUAAUUACUUGUCCAUAGAGCACCUCAUACUAGAUGCAAUAUAAACAAGGCCCCAUGCCCAGGUACGUGAAAUUUGCCACAGAAUCUGAGCUUUUUGCUUUAAAAAUGUGGGGGAGGGAAAGGAAGUUUCCAACCCUUAAGUAAAUUAUUUCCACCGAAGAUAAGCUUCCAGAUGUUAACAAGAAAUGUUGUCUACCUGAAUGUGCAGAGUGACCACCUGAAGUCGGGAUAAGAGACGUUGAACUACCCCAAUCAUCUUAAUAGGUUGUUGACUCUGAAAUCUAGGUAUAAUUUAAAUAGCAACAUUAAUUAUUUCAUUGCCUAUCAUUUUAGCAGAAACCUACAAGUAUGGUGCUUAUCCAUUGUUGGAAUUACUAGCGGGGAAGCUGGGAUGGGGAAAUAGGAGUCCAAGGGCUUGUCUACACUACUGCGCAGGUUGAUCUAAGAUACGCAACUUCAGCUACGUACUUAGAUCUACUUAUUGCGGUGUCUUCACUGCGCUAAAUUGAUAGCUAACGCUCUCCCGUCAACUCCACUUGUGUUCUUCAUUCUGGUGGAGUACUGGAGUUGACAGGAGAGCGCUCAGCUAGCUAUACUAGAUGUGAUAAAUCGACCCCCGCUGGAUCGAUUGCUGCCCGUCGAACUGGCAGGUAGUGUAGACAAGCUCUAAGCCUUCUUCAUCCCCCACAAAAAUAUCAAGUCAUUUCCAACUUAGCCUGCAAGAGGGAAUGAAAGAAUAUGCACCUUCCCCAUGUGCUAUAAUCCUCAACCUACAUGCCAAAAGCUCAACCUUCCUCUUAUCCAGCAGUUUAAGCCUUCAGUUUUCUCUUGAAAAUUUCGAUAGUGCCAUUAACAUGAAAUAGCAAAAAUAAAACAAGGAAUACUAUGCUGAUUGUAUUAUUUCCUGUAAAAGACCCCGUUUUAGUUUAUCUGAAGCUUGCUACAGACUUCAGUACUUGUUUAUUUAGGUUGGUUACAUUUUCUUUCAUAACAGAGUGUAGCAUAUGAUGUAAUUCUGUCUUAGUAGUGCAGUGUUAACGGCCCAGUUUUGAGAAUAAUUUCAACUCUGGUUUAUAAGGCAUGUAAAUGCUGUUAUAGGAAGGCAAAGGAAGUUGAGGGGAUUCAAACAGCUUAAACGUGCAUGUCAGCACAACAGGAUGAGUAAAUCCUUUUCCUUCCUGGACUAGCAGUUUAGGACAGAAACUGUGUUCUAAGGCUUAGCUAAAAACUGAUUUCUAACGUUUUUUCUUUUCCAAUUUGAACAGACUGGUAUAUGGACCGAACUUAACAAGAUUGAGCAAAAUUUCUUAAAGCCUUUGCACACAGGACUUAAUAUGUCAAAAGCACAUUAUGAAGCAGAAA